rnacentral:rRNA from 1 species
UGAACGCAAGUUGCGCCCGAAGCCAUCCGGCCGAAGGGCACGUCUGCCUGGGUGUCACGCAACGUCGCCCCCCCUCAAACAAACUGAGAAACAGGAGGGGGCGGAACAUGGCCUCCCGCGAUCCCCCGGUCGCGGUUGGCCCAAAACAAGGGUCCCGGAGACGGCGACCGCGACGAUCGGUGGUUGACAGACCCUCGGAAGCAGUCGCGCGCGGCCGUCCCCAGAGGGAACCCGAAAGGCCCCCGCGCUCCCCCGCCACGGGAACGAGCGCUCCGAUCGCGACCCCAGGUCAGGCGGGACCACCCGCUGAGUUUAAGCAUAUCAAUAAGCGGAGGAAAAGAAACUUACCAGGAUUCCCCUAGUAACGGCGAGCGAACCGGGAAGAGCCC